rnacentral:lncRNA from 1 species
GGUUACAGGACAGUGGUUGAUGCACACUUUUCCUGCAUAAACUAGAGAAGUAGUUACUUUUAACUUUGUGAUUUAAUCUCUCAAGAAUCAUUUAAUCUUCUUACCCCACUCCAAGUGAUCAGCCCCCAAACAGCAAGGAAUAUCCCCAUAGAUGCAGUAGUCACUAGAGAAAAUAGUUUUUAAAGCUGAAAAUAGGACUUUUAAAAAAAAAAAAAAAAAAAAGCACAAUCCUAUCAAAACACAAAGUCCCUCAACUCAUCAAAAAAAAAAAAAAAAAAAACUUAAAAAGUCCAUGUUUUCAUUCAUGCUGUAACAAAUCUGUCCAUUUGGGGGGAUCUCUAAUUUAUUUAAAAAAAUGAGUUGCCUGCAGUUUCCUAAGCUGUAUUUCGUAAGGCAGCAGUAGCAGACACAUAUCUUUCAGAAUUUUGGUAAAGACAAAAUGUGUGCCUCCUUCGGAUCUUGUUUUCCAAUGAUGUCCAUUUGAUUUCUAUUUUGAAAAACAAUGUUUUUUAUUCUAAAAAGUGACCCUCUCCAUGCACACAGUACAGAAGGGCAUGUGCAGAGCUUGGCCUCCACUGGCCCUCCUCCCAUGUUUGGGAGAAGGGACUUCAACCUCCAGGUCAGGGGUGUCUAGAUCACAUGUUCUGUGAGUGCCCUGAGUUCUGAUUCUGCCCCAACUUUAAGGUGGGCUUCUUCAGCUCAUUGAGGAUUGCAAUCCCAGAGUCCUGGAGCCAGAGAACAUCUCAGGCUAAUUGUAGGCGUUCUUUCCCCAUUCAGAGAUGACUAUAAAGAAGCCAAUUUGGUAAUUUCUCUGCCUCCUGGCAUCUUUGUGAAUUGCUCCAGGAAUAAACUAAGCCAAAAGGAUAUUUACCCAAAUAUGAGUAUGAAAAAUCAUUUACAUAACUGGGCAUUAACUCCACACUGCUGAUUUUCUUCUUGGGGAUGCAAGAUGGUGAAGGUAAGAGGGCUGACAGAGAAAGGAAGUGAUUUUGAAGGUAAGGCACAUGGGUGGGGUGCUGUACAGGGGAAAGAUAUGUUCUUCCAGGUAAAAUUAAUUGGAUCCUGUAAGUAGCAGAAGGGAAGACUGGAGGUGGCUUUACCCACUCUGACUGAUUCAUGUAAUUAAGUUUGGAUGAAGACUUGGCUGUGGUUUUUUGUCAUUUAUAUCCAUAGUACCAGGCAUCCUCCUAUAAAUCAGCCUGGUUUACAGUAGCCUUCCCUUUGCUGCUGGGCUCAUAUAGUUCAAAAGCUGCAAGGCUGAGGUACUAAUAUCCGGAGGAGGGUGUUUUCAGAGAAAGACAAAAGGGAGAGGGAGAUUGAGACAUUGAAGUGGUUGCAUCCUUGCAUACCCUCUGGAUUGAGGGGAAUGGGCUGUGUUGCAGCCAAAAGAGAAACAAAGGAUGGCACAGAGAAAGCAGGUUCGCUGAGAGACUAACCCUCGCUUCCUCAGGGAAGGUAAAGAAAGAGCACAGAAAGGAGUGCAAGGGACCACUGGCACCUGUUAUCGGUCAUUAACAAACGACCAUGUACUGCUAAUCUGUGAUCAUAAAAAGGCCAUCUGCUAAUGCUCAAAGGUCAUUAAGAUGCCAGCCAUGUUUACUCUGUUCUCAUUGGUUGGGCCAGUCAUUUUGAAGAAAAAAGGAGCUUAAAUGGUUAUUGUGGUGGGGCCUGCUAAUGUUGCUCUAGUUAUGGGUCUGUCAGUGUUUCCAUUAUAAAACCCUGCUUUUGGUGAUUUAAAAUACAGCCAUGGAAAUAACGGGUUGACUGUGUACCCAUGCACGUAUACAUAUAUGUACACGUUAUUUUUGUUUUCACGGGGGGAAAUUCAAGGUGUGCCAUCUUGAGUCUAUCCAUGUUCAAAGAUACUUGUUAGGAAAUGUCAUUUUUUCAUUUGUCAUCCUUUUUUAUUUAACCUGACUGAUGGACCUCAGCCUACCCACAGGCCCUAAAAAUUAUUUUCCUUGAUAAAAUAAAUAUCUUCCCAAAGAAGAAUCAUCAUCUCGAUUUGACAUAAAUUUUUGGCUCUUCCCUGCUGAUGAGAGAACUGGAUUACAUGUGGGUUGGCCAGUGAUUGGAUUAUAGUGUUUUCCUCAUUGAGGAAACCUACCGAAUUAAAGCUUACCUCACUCCUGCAUGCUUCUCUUAUCUUCCCCCCAAAUUAUCAGAUGGGUUACUCAAUUUGUUUUGUUUCUCUGACCUCUUCAGAUGGAUUUGUAUAAGUAGUUCUCUCUAAGGAAGAGAGUGGUAAUGAUUUCUUUUCUUUUCUUUUCUUUUCCCCAAGAUACCCAUGAAUUCACAGGAAUUUGUCAGGGUGAUAGGAACAUGUUGAAUGUUCAAAGGUAUUGAUAAUAUUAAAGCAGCUAGCUAGAGCUAAAUAAUCUCAUAUCUGUAUAUAUACACACACAAUUGUGAUAGAUAUCUUGCUAGAACUCUAAGGAACUGCUCUCUUUUUUCUAAAAUAUUUUCUUGUAUCCUCUUCUAGGAAUCCUGGAAAAGGAAAGAUAAAAACGAAGUUUUCUGUAUAAACUAAUUGACCAAAGGACUAAAAAACAAGUUAUAUAAUUCUAAAAUUCCUUCCUCAGUCUGCUCAUGAUGACUGGUGACAAAGAUGUCUCUUAUCAACGGGUCAUCUGAUAGAUCACAUGUUCAACUAUCUGGCCACAGCAGGUACAAAAGACAGAACCCACUUCUAAAAAUAGGAAUUUUAGCGACACUGUGUGUGUGUGUGUUUGUGUGUUGUGAAACAAGCAAGGAUGGUCAGACUUUCAAGGUUAUAUUGGCAUAGACCUGUGUGCUGAAGUGUGAUUUUCAAAAACCCAGACAGAUUUUUAUGUCUUCUGAGAUUCUUCAGUGAUGGAGACCAAGAUUGCUGUUCUAACUUUGCCUCCUUCAUUUCUGAUAAAACCACCGUUUCUCAUCAUAUCCUCUCCUUUCAUCUCUGCCAAUUAACUAAGUAGCCAGAGCCUUGUUUUGAAAAGUUCUGAGUAGUUUGUAAUCUCUCUCUUUUUUUUUCUUAGCCAAGUCAACGUGUCCUCUGGAGGCCUCUGAAUGAGGGGUCUGUCCACUGCCCCACCCCUGACUGCCUGUUAGUGCAGGCCUGGGCUUAAUCUUCUGCUUUCAACGAGUGGCGGGGGGUGGGGGGGUGUAGCUAGAGCAUGGGGGGUGGGGUGGUGACCGCAGGUGGCUAAAGAAAGGGGGUCUUGUUCUCAGGAUGCUAAAUGACUGGUUAGCACUGCUUUUACUGUGAAAUCCAGCUUCUGUCACUUCAUGGCUAAUUGCUUUAUUAUUCUCAGAUCCAGAUUGGACCUGAUUUAGUUCUAUCAGGAGCCAUGACUCUCCCUGGCAUUUGGCCAGGAUCCUUUCGAUCCUUUGAUCUGAGGUUUUAUAAUCACAUUACCAUUUUAGGCGGAGGCAGGAGGCAUGGGCUUUUGCUGAUGCUUUCUAUGUACAAGGGCACAGGUUUGCUCAGUGGGCAGAUGGAGUGUGACUCUAACCUGGGCAGGGUUUGAGGAAUGGAAUCUUCUCUGUAAUUUGGUUUUUCCUUCUCAGUCUUAGGCUUUGUGGGUUUAAUUUGCUUUCUUCCCUCUAUUCAGCCCCGUAUGCGCUUACCCUGUCGGUGGGUUUAAUUUUGGCCAUUUCAAUGUUGGACCCUGAGUAAGGUUUUGCUCUCCUCUUUUGCCAAAGCUUUUCUGCAUCGGCUGGCUGCCCUUAAUGUGAAAUAAGUCAACAGGUAGUUAUAAUGACCUCCCCUAAUUGUCAGCAGAGCCUGGCUGGUCCCCACCAGUUGUUCUGGGAUCCAGACACCAGAGCUGAAAACGUCAAGUGGCCCACAGGCUGUGUUGGUUGUUAGUUUGCCUGAAGAGGGCGAGGAGCAGGAGCAGCAGUGGCCUGGGAUUUUUUAAUAGGCAGGGCUGUAAACUGUCGGCCAGGCCUAAGUCACAGAUGCACCACAGAGCUCUUUCAAGCCCUUAUUCCAGUGCUCCACUUGUAACUAUUUUUAACCUUAUUAAAAGGGAGCGAAAUGCUUCAGCUUCACAAGCACAUGCUAGCGUCUUGCAGUAAAUUUCUUUGCUUUAUAACCCCACCUUUGAUUCAGAAGGCCAGCGGGCAUGAGAACUUGGAUAAACAUAAAUCUCCUCCAGAUCUGCUUCAGGGACCCCUGCACAGUCAGCGAUGUGCUAGAAGUAGGCUCUGGGUCUCCAGCUGGAGCAGAGGGGAAGGAGAGGCUCCCCUCUUUGGAUUUUCAGGCAGUUCAAUCUUCAAUUCAAUCUUGCAAAGACAGAAUUUGUGGCAUUUGUGUAAUAGAAACACAGACAAAAGUCAGAAGAGGCACCCAGGCAGGUGAUGUCUGAUAACUUGAGCUCCACGUGACCAGUUUCCCAGUACAAGGUCAGCAGGCCUGUGGAAGCCAGCUGUGGAAGCAGGAGGUGGAAGUGGGGCUGGCAUUACAGGGCUGAGGGAUUUUUGUCACUCUCUCUCUCUCUUUUUUUUUUUCCACUUCUCACAUGGCAGCUCCUCCUCUAUCAGUGGCAGGGCCUAAAAUCUCAUUUAGAAUUUCUUCCAAGCUUUCUAGUUUGGAAAGUCUUUGCUAACUUUUGAAAGGACUUUGGGGGGCCUGGCAUAAUCUUCAUCUGAAGUACCUGCUUAGGUCUCUUUUUUGUUUUGAUUCAAAACAGAAAGAGACUCUUGCCCAAUAUAAUGCUUUGGGUUCAGGCGUCCACUAUGUGGAGAAGCCCAAAUUCUACUGAGCUUCAGAUCAUCCCCAUGGGGGGCCUGAGAUGAGCUGACAUGAUAGCAGAAGUUUUGGGGUUGAAACUGUAACUGUCAUUAUGUAGAGUCUGCUCUGUGUACUGUGCCAGGAUGGAAGGAGCAUUGCAAAGGACAAGUAAGACAAGACUUCUGUCCUCCAGGAGCUUCUCAGCUUAUUAGCAAUGUCAUACCCAGUUAUAGAGCUGUAUGAUGCAGUGCAUGAUGAGCAUUAACAGCAAUGGGGGUCAGAGAAGGAAGUAUGUGUGAUGCUAGAACAGGUCAAGAAAGGUUCAUGAGGAGUUCCUGUCAUGACUCAGUGGUAAUGAACCUGAUUAGUAUCCAUGAGGACAUGGGUUCAAUCCCUGGCCUCCCUCAGUGGGUCAGGGAUCCAGCGUUGCCAUGAGCUGUGGCAUAGGUCGAAAUUUCGGCUUAGAUUCUGUGUUGCUGUGGCUGUGAUGUAGACCAGCAGCUGUAGAUCCAGUUGGACCCAUAACCUGGAAACUUCCAUAUGCUUCAGGUGUGGCCCUAAAAAGACAAAAAAAAAAAAAAAAAAAAAAAAAA